GUCUCUGGGGUCCCAGCCCCAAGCCUCCUGAAAGAAAGAGGGGAGGAAGGAAGAAAGAACACUAGGAGGGUGCCAGGCACUCUGCAGCAUCUGUGCCUCCGGCCGCUGAGCGUUCAGAGCGCACCUACUGUGUGCUGGCGGGCCCUAGGCAGCUCCGGAGGGGCCCCAGCGCAGACGGGGAUCCCAGCUCCACUUCUCGAGGCCGCGCCUAGCUGAGGAGGAGGAUGGCACAGGAAAUAAAAAAAAAAGAACCAAAGACCAGACCUGAUGAAAACAGGACAAAGAAAUGAUGAAGAAAAGAGCAAAACGGAAUAAAGCAGAAAACAAAUAUACAACUGAGAGGGUUACUGAAGCCGAAAGUGAGCUCUUUGAAAAGAUUAAUAAAAUAGUGAAACCUCUGAGUCUGAUAUAGAGAUAAAGACACAAAUAAGUAAAUACUAAGAAUGAAAAGGAUAUGAUCACUACAGAUCCUGGAGAGAUUUGAAAGAAUAAUAUGAACAACUAUUUCUUUAAUGUUUUAUUUCUCACUUCCGUUCCUUACGUCGCUUUGGAUCAGUUUUAUUUUGUAGCUACUUACCCACUGCAUCUUCAUUUUCCAAUUUAUUUGUACAAAGUUGUUUCUUAUGCUGAAAAAAAAAAUCUUUCUCUCAUUAACUCCCUCUUUUCCUUAUUUAUUUGGGCCUUUUCUCUUUUUUCCUUAAUCAGCCCGACUACGGAUGUAUCUGUUUUAUCAGUCAUUGGCUUUAUCGAUCAUCUGUGUUGGUUCUUUGGUUUUUUGUUUUAUUGAUUUUUUUUCUCUUAUCUUUAUUAUUUCCUGCUAUUAGGAGGCUGUAUUAUUAUGUUGUCUUUCUCUGACAAUGUAAACUGAAUGCUCAAGUCACUAAUGCAUGAUUUUUUAUUAAGAUGCAAACUUUAAUGUGGGCAUUCAGAAGAAUACACAUUCCCCUCAAGGAUUGUUUCAGCUGCGCUGACAUUUUAAAAAUGUGACGCUCUCAUAUUUUGUAUUUUUUUUCUUUGUCCCAAUAAGUAUUUGGAGCCUUGAUUUUAAUUUUCAAACGUAAGUUUACCUUUUCGUUAUCAUUUUCUCAUUUCAGUGGAUUGUGGUCAUAGAAAAUGGUCUCUGUGACAUCCGUUCACUCCUUGGCAGACUUGCUUCAUGACCUAGUAUGGGAACAAUUUCUGUAAAUGUUCUCACACUGGAUGAAGAGAAUGCCAAUUUUUCUGUUUGAUCAAGCUUCUUAAAUGUGUUAUUCAAAUAUUCUACACAUUUACUAAUUUUACGGCCACUUGAUUUAGUAACUAUGGAGAAAGGAAAGAUAAGGUUCUCAGGGGGAUUGUGGGUCCAUCUGUGUCUCUUUGAAAUUGUCUCAAGUUUCACUUUCUAUCAGGGGUCAUCAAACUAUGUGGUCUGUGAACGAAAUUUGGGCCACUCCUUGUUUUUGUAAAUAAAGUUUUAUUGGAACAC